rnacentral:rRNA from 1 species
GGCGAACGCUGGCGGCGUGCCUAAUACAUGCAAGUCGAACGCAUUUUCUUUCACCGUAGCUUGCUACACCGAAAGAAAAUGAGUGGCGAACGGGUGAGUAACACGUGGGUAACCUGCCCAUCAGCGGGGGAUAACACUUGGAAACAGGUGCUAAUACCGCAUAAUUCCAUUUACCGCAUGGUAAAUGGAUGAAAGGCGCUUUUGCGUCACUGAUGGAUGGACCCGCGGUGCAUUAGCUAGUUGGUGGGGUAACGGCCUACCAAGGCUGCGAUGCAUAGCCGACCUGAGAGGGUGAUCGGCCACACUGGGACUGAGACACGGCCCAGACUCCUACGGGAGGCAGCAGUAGGGAAUCUUCGGCAAUGGACGCAAGUCUGACCGAGCAACGCCGCGGGAGUGAAGAAGGUUGUCGGAUCGUAAAACUCUGUUGUUAGAGAAGAACAAGGAUGAGAGUGGAAAGUUCAUCCCUUGACGGUAGCUAACCAGAAAGCCACGGCUAACUACGUG